AUGAACGCUAGCUACAGGCUUAACACAUGCAAGUCGAGGGGCAUCAGUUUGGUUUGCUUGCAAACCAAAGCUGGCGACCGGCGCACGGGUGAGUAACACGUAUCCAACCUGCCUCAUACUCGGGGAUAGCCUUUCGAAAGAAAGAUUAAUAUCCGAUAGCAUAUAUUUCCCGCAUGGGUUUUAUAUUAAAGAAAUUCGGUAUGAGAUGGGGAUGCGUUCCAUUAGUUUGUUGGCGGGGUAACGGCCCACCAAGACUACGAUGGAUAGGGGUUCUGAGAGGAAGGUCCCCCACAUUGGAACUGAGACACGGUCCAAACUCCUACGGGAGGCAGCAGUGAGGAAUAUUGGUCAAUGGACGCGAGUCUGAACCAGCCAAGUAGCGUGAAGGAUGACUGCCCUAUGGGUUGUAAACUUCUUUUAUAUGGGAAUAAAGUGGUCCACGUGUGGAUUUUUGUAUGUACCAUAUGAAUAAGGAUCGGCUAACUCCGUGCCAGCAGCCGCGGUAAUACGGAGGAUCCGAGCGUUAUCCGGAUUUAUUGGGUUUAAAGGGAGCGUAGGCGGAUUGUUAAGUCAGUUGUGAAAGUUUGCGGCUCAACCGUAAAAUUGCAGUUGAUACUGGCAGUCUUGAGUGCAGUAGAGGUGGGCGGAAUUCGUGGUGUAGCGGUGAAAUGCUUAGAUAUCACGAAGAACUCCGAUUGCGAAGGCAGCUCACUGGAGUGUAACUGACGCUGAUGCUCGAAAGUGUGGGUAUCAAACAGGAUUAGAUACCCUGGUAGUCCACACAGUAAACGAUGAAUACUCGCUGUUUGCGAUAUACAGUAAGCGGCCAAGCGAAAGCAUUAAGUAUUCCACCUGGGGAGUACGUUCGCAAGAAUGAAACUCAAAGGAAUUGACGGGGGCCCGCACAAGCGGUGGAGCAUGUGGUUUAAUUCGAAGCAACGCGAAGAACCUUACCAAGUCUUGACAUCCCGAUGACCGGCACGUAACGGUGCCUUCUCUUCGGAGCAUCGGAGACAGGUGGUGCAUGGUUGUCGUCAGCUCGUGUCGUGAGAUGUUGGGUUAAGUCCCGCAACGAGCGCAACCCUUAUCUUCAGUUACUAACAGGUCAUGCUGAGGACUCUGGAGAGACUGCCGUCGUAAGAUGUGAGGAAGGUGGGGAUGACGUCAAAUCAGCACGGCCCUUACGUCCGGGGCUACACACGUGUUACAAUGGGGGGUACAGAAGGCCGCUACCUGGUGACAGGAUGCCAAUCCCAAAAACCUCUCUCAGUUCGGAUCGAAGUCUGCAACCCGACUUCGUGAAGCUGGAUUCGCUAGUAAUCGCGCAUCAGCCAUGGCGCGGUGAAUACGUUCCCGGGCCUUGUACACACCGCCCGUCAAGCCAUGAAAGCCGGGGGUACCUGAAGUACGUAACCGCAAGGAGCGUCCUAGGGUAAAACUGGUAAUUGGGGCU
rnacentral:rRNA from 1 species